CUGUGGACUAGUCCAGGAUGGCAAUUUUUAUGCUGUUUCUCCCUGCUAAGCUUGGAAUCAGCCACAGGCUUGUCUCGUAAGCCUUUGGCAAUGAUAACAUUUCUCAGAUGUGUUAGCUGUUGGUCUCCUCCACUGCAAGAAACCAAGCAAUACUCCACAAGCAUUUCUUUUAAUCCUCUUAGCAGUUGUGCAUUAUUUCAUACGCUCCUGGCAAAAGUAGUUGACUUUUCUGUCCCUUCCUCCCCUAUCCCCUGAAGACACUGGAAGAGGUGAGGAGGAAAUAAGUAGUUAAUGCUGUGUAUCAGUGGUAAGAGGGGCUAUAUGUUUUUCUGCAGUAGGUAAGCAGCAGCAAGGACAUCUCAGAGCUAGAAAAUUAAGGAGGAACAGGAUCUAGCUUUGAGUGUGGAAAACGCAAAUGGCAGGCCCUGUACAGGAACAGCAUCACACCCUGACUGGGGCAUUAAGGCAGAUUUCUGUGGCAGUUUUUCAAGGUAAGCAAUUGCUGUGUUUUUCUCACCAGGAUCAUGGUUAGGACUCCAGCAAGGCUAUGAGGAGGUUAUAAAAGGUGUAUAGUUUUAAUUACAAAUCCACAACCAGGGGAGACAAAUGGACAUCUAAAGAUGACCAAGAACUGGCAUAAAAACUGAAGGAAGUGCUUAUGCAGCAGCACCACCCACAUUCUUCUUGUCACCACGAGUGCAUUGCUUGGCAAGUUGACAUGUACAUGUGCCUGUUCUGGCUUAGAGCACCACCAGGUUGUUUCAUCACAGUUUGUUCUCCCGGGUUUUGCAAACCGGCUGCUGACACUGUCCUGUUGCCUACUCUGUGCUGGGAGAAGUUAUUUCAGCUGGUUGUAUCUAAGCAGACUUCUGGUUCUGUGUAGUCUCUUCAUUUUAGUUAAGACACACUGCUGCAGAGACAGCAUUGUAAGGCACCCUGUUCUGUCUCCUCUUCCACAUAUAACUUAACUUCUGCAAGAGGCAAUGACUGAAAUGAUGCUGUGAUAGUCCCUUCUUACUGAAAGCUUCUCUUAUAAGGUAUUCAAGACAAUUCAGUAGUCUCAACAUGGAUCAGCUCAGAUCCCAUUAGUUAAGCAUGAUACCGGGGGACACUGUCUUCGUACCUGGAACGCUGGAAGAACCCGCACUACAGCAGAGAAGGAAAAGAACAGAUUAGAUUAAAGUUGCUGGCAAAGUACUAUGAUUACAGAGAUAAGUUCUGCACAGAAAUGUAGACUGUAUCCUGACUGGUUCUCUGAGGUGCCCACCAUUUCCUCCAGCAAAACAUGGAAGAUGGGAUUUGGCAUUCCUUGUAUUUCUAACAUGGAAAAUCAAAGCAGAAAUAAACCAGACUGCCAUCCUUCAUUAUAGGAGUUACCAAGGCCAUACCCAUCAUUGUUGAGAUCCACAACAGCAACAUCAUAGCCAAAAGAAGAGGCCAGCCCUUCUCCUUCAAACAUGUGCUCCAGUGACAGCGCUCUCUGGUUCUUCUCUUUUUUCAGUAGAACAACUGCUCCGCUGUGGUUGGCUCUUGGGGCACCAGACACAAAAGUCAUCUCAUCCUGGGAGACAAUUCCUUUACCAGAGUCCAAAGAGAAACCUUGAACAGAGAAAGAAAGAAAAUAUGAAUACACAAACUGACAGCUUGUACUGCUGACAGGGAAAAUAAAUUCUCCUACUAUAUUAAAGUGGUA